rnacentral:rRNA from 1 species
CAGCCGCCGCGGGAAUACGGAGGGGGCUAGCGUUGUUCGGAAUUACUGGGCGUAAAGCGCACGUAGGCGGCUUUGUAAGUUAGAGGUGAAAGCCCGGAGCUCAACUCCGGAAUUGCCUUUAAGACUGCAGAGCUAGCAGGUGAGAGAGGUGAGUGGAAUUCCGAGUGUAGAGGUGAUAUUCGUAGAUAUUCGGAAGAACACCAGUGGCGAAGGCGGCUUACUGGCUCAUACUGGACGCUGAGGUGCGAAAGCGUGGGGAGCAAACAGGAUUAGAUAACCCAGUAGUCCCUGUCUCUUAUAC